rnacentral:rRNA from 1 species
CUGCGAAUACCGGAGAAUGUUAUCACGGGAGACACACGGCGGGUGCUAACGUCCGUCGUGAAGAGGGAAACAACCCAGACCGCCAGCUAAGGUCCCAAAGUCAUGGUUAAGUGGGAAACGAUGUGGGAAGGCCCAGACAGCCAGGAUGUUGGCUUAGAAGCAGCCAUCAUUUAAAGAAAGCGUAAUAGCUCACUGGUCGAGUCGGCCUGCGCGGAAGAUGUAACGGGGCUAAACCAUGCACCGAAGCUGCGGCAGCGACGCUKAUGCGUUGUUGGGUAGGGGAGCGUUCUGUAAGCCUGYGAAGGUGUGCUGUGAGGCAUGCUGGAGGUAUCAGAAGUGCGAAUGCUGACAUAAGUAACGAUAAAGCGGGUGAAAAGCCCGCUCGCCGGAAGACCAAGGGUUCCUGUCCAACGUUAAUCGGGGCAGGGUGAGUCGACCCCUAAGGCGAGGCCGAAAGGCGUAGUCGAUGGGAAACAGGUUAAUAUUCCUGUACUUGGUGUUACUGCGAAGGGGGGACGGAGAAGGCUAUGUUGGCCGGGCGACGGUUGUCCCGGUUUAAGCGUGUAGGCUGGUUUUCCAGGCAAAUCCGGAAAAUYAAGGCUGAGGCGUGAUGACGAGGCACURCGGUGCUGAAGCAACAAAUGCCCUGCUUCCAGGAAAAGCCUCUAAGCAUCAGGUAACAUCAAAUCGUACCCCAAACCGACACAGGUGGUCAGGUAGAGAAUACCAAGGCGCUUGAGAGAACUCGGGUGAAGGAACUAGGCAAAAUGGUGCCGUAACUUCGGGAGAAGGCACGCUGAUAUGUAGGUGAAGUCCCUCGCGGAUGGAGCUGAAAUCAGUCGAAGAUACCAGCUGGCUGCAACUGUUUAUUAAAAACACAGCACUGUGCAAACACGAAAGUGGACGUAUACGGUGUGACGCCUGCCCGGUGCCGGAAGGUUAAUUGAUGGGGUYAGCGCAAGCGAAGCUCUUGAUCGAAGCCCCGGUAAACGGCGGCCGUAACUAUAACGGUCCUAAGGUAGCGAAAUUCCUUGUCGGGUAAGUUCCGACCUGCACGAAUGGCGUAAUGAUGGCCAGGCUGUCUCCACCCGAGACUCAGUGAAAUUGAACUCGCUGUGAAGAUGCAGUGUACCCGCGGCAAGACGGAAAGACCCCGUGAACCUUUACUAUAGCUUGACACUGAACAUUGAGCCUUGAUGUGUAGGAUAGGUGGGAGGCUUUGAAGUGUGGACGCCAGUCUGCAUGGAGCCGACCUUGAAAUACCACCCUUUAAUGUUUGAUGUUCUAACGUUGACCCGUAAUCCGGGUUGCGGACAGUGUCUGGUGGGUAGUUUGACUGGGGCGGUCUCCUCCUAAAGAGUAACGGAGGAGCACGAAGGUUGGCUAAUCCUGGUCGGACAUCAGGAGGUUAGUGCAAUGGCAUAAGCCAGCUUGACUGCGAGCGUGACGGCGCGAGCAGGUGCGAAAGCAGGUCAUAGUGAUCCGGUGGUUCUGAAUGGAAGGGCCAUCGCUCAACGGAUAAAAGGUACUCCGGGGAUAACAGGCUGAUACCGCCCAAGAGUUCAUAUCGACGGCGGUGUUUGGCACCUCGAUGUCGGCUCAUCACAUCCUGGGGCUGAAGUAGGUCCCAAGGGUAUGGCUGUUCGCCAUUUAAAGUGGUACGCGAGCUGGGUUUAGAACGUCGUGAGACAGUUCGGUCCCUAUCUGCCGUGGGCGCUGGAGAACUGAGGGGGGCUGCUCCUAGUACGAGAGGACCGGAGUGGACGCAUCACUGGUGUUCGGGUUGUCAUGCCAAUGGCACUGCCCGGUAGCUAAAUGCGGAAGAGAUAAGUGCUGAAAGCAUCUAAGCACGAAACUUGCCCCGAGAUGAGUUCUCCCUGACUCCUUGAGAGUCCUGAAGGAACGUUGAAGACGACGACGUUGAUAGGCCGGGUGUGUAAGCGCAGCGAUGCGUUGAGCUAACCGGUACUAAUGAACCGUGAGGCUUAACC